rnacentral:rRNA from 1 species
CGGUUGAUCCUGCCGGAGGCCACUGCUAUGGGGGUCCGACUAAGCCAUGCGAGUCAUGGGGCGCCUUGCGCGCACCGGCGGACGGCUCAGUAACACGUCGGUAACCUACCCUCGGGAGGGGGAUAACCCCGGGAAACUGGGGCUAAUCCCCCAUAGGCCUGAGGUACUGGAAGGUCCUCAGGCCGAAAGGGGCUCUGCCCGCCCGAGGAUGGGCCGGCGGCCGAUUAGGUAGUUGGUGGGGUAACGGCCCACCAAGCCGAAGAUCGGUACGGGCCAUGAGAGUGGGAGCCCGGAGAUGGACACUGAGACACGGGUCCAGGCCCUACGGGGCGCAGCAGGCGCGAAACCUCCGCAAUGCGGGAAACCGCGACGGGGGGACCCCCAGUGCCGUGGCAACGCCACGGCUUUUCCGGAGUGUAAAAAGCUCCGGGAAUAAGGGCUGGGCAAGGCCGGUGGCAGCCGCCGCGGUAAUACCGGCGGCCCGAGUGGUGGCCGCUAUUAUUGGGCCUAAAGCGUCCGUAGCCGGGCCUGUAAGUCCCUGGCGAAAUCCCACAGCUCAACCGUGGGGCUUGCUGGGGAUACUGCAGGCCUUGGGACCGGGAGAGGCCGGGGGUACUCCUGGGGUAGGGGUGAAAUC